CGAAGGAUGCAAGCGUUAUCCGGAUUCAUUGGGUUUAAAGGGAGCGUAGGUGGCCUUAUAAGUCAGUGGUGAAAUCUCUGGGCUUAACCCAGAAAUUGCCAUUGAUACUGUAGGGCUUGAGUAUAGAUGCCGUUGGCGGAAUAUGACAUGUAGUGGUGAAAUACAUAGAGAUGUCAUAGAACACCGAUUGCGAAGGCAGCUAACGAAACUAUAACUGACACUGAGGCUCGAAAGUGUGGGGAUCAAACAGGAUUAGAUACCCUGGUAGUCCACACUGUAAACGAUGAUUACUCGCUGCUAGAGGGCAACUUUUAGUGGCUUGGCGAAAGCGAUAAGUAAUCCACCUGGGGAGUACGCCGGCAACGGUG
rnacentral:rRNA from 1 species